UAAUAUAUAUAUGGUUUUAAUUAUUCAUUCAUAUUAUGUUGUUGUGUUUAGAAUGUUUUAAGAAAUAUCAAAUAAUAAUAUGAAUGAGGAAUACCAAAAAGAAGAAAAUGGUACAAUAAUGGUCAAUACAUAAAAUCGAAAGUCCCAUGUCCAAAUUGCGAUAAUAAAUACAUUGAGGCAUAUCGUACUAAAUGCAAUAAAUGGCAUUGUGCACUGCAGGGACUGGAACCGUACUGAAAUUGACCGGUUUUGGACCGAAACCUUUUGAAAAUCUUGGAAUCGAAACCGAAACCAGAUUCUAAAAUAAUAUACCAACGUUUUAAACUUUAGCCGACCCAUUUAAAAUUAUUAACCGUUUCGUUAAGAACCGCUGCUUUAGAGCCUUUUUUUAAAUAUAACUGUAAACAAAUAUCACAUUUAAAAGAUAAAACUGAUAAUAACUUACUACAAUUACCACUUCUGAUAUCAUUUUAACUGCCUAAAACGUAUAACUUCUUAAUAUAAACACAAAAUAAAUUAAAACUUUUAAUAUUGACAAUAAUAUAUUGUUAAUAAUUAUUGUUUUUGUAAAAUACACAAUUUAUAAAAAGACCUGGGAUUCUAAUGCCCCAAAAAACCCAACAUAGAACAUAAUAUUAAUAUUAUAGUAUAGAUACCUACCAAUAGCACAAAUUUUCUAAUAAUCACGAAUCAUGAUAGUAAUAAUAAUAAUAAUAAUAAAAAAGACACACAUAUAAUAAAUGAUGAUAACACACGUAUUAAUUGUGAUCAUAGUCAAAUUAUUGUCAUUUGUCGUUAUUCGUUCCUAUAUAGAUUAUCGAAAAUGAUAACCUACCUGCCUACCUGUCAUUAUCGUACAAAUAGACGCGUCUAAAUAAUCACCCAUUCUGGUAAAAAUCCCGUAUUUAAUCCAGGUGCGCUAUUUAGUUAUAUCUGUAAUAUCUUACUCAUAUAAGUUGUAUGCUUUAAUAACUUGUAUUAAGGAGCAGUGGCGUGAUGACUGAUGAAGGACUUUAUUCGAGGCACGUGCCUCAGUUUAAAGGGUGGUUGGUGUCCUGGAGACUAGAGGCAUUUCAGACAUUUCACAUAUUAUAAUAAUUUAUUAAGUGUGUACUAAGACUAAGCCAAUCUUUCUCAGUUACCAUUUACGUAAAUAC